rnacentral:lncRNA from 1 species
CGAAAUCAGAGGGAAACAACAUCGGCGUCAGCCAACUCAUACCGACUCUAACGUUUGUGCUUGGUGAAAUAAACUAUUUGAUACAUGUGAGGCCGGCGCUAAGGUAAGCCGCAUGUGUUUGAUAUAGCGAUUGGCUGUUACGAAUUGGAUAAACAGAAGAUAUUCGCCGCGAGAGAAAUCAAAACAAACAGAACAGCAGGUAUAGUUUAUGUGGCUUUACGGCAGCUUGUUCUUCGAUUUCAAAAUCAAAAAAG